ACAGUAUUUCCCACUAAAAUUUCACUUUAUCUUGGCAAAGGAGAACCAAUGAGCCCAGAUACAUGUAUCUUCAACUUACAUCAUUUGAAAAUUCAAGAGUAAACUCCUACUAGUUUGAUAACAAUUUCUAAUCACCAUAUAACUAGCUCGAAGGUACAAAAUAUUGGAGGAACACCAUGAAUUAAGCAUGAUACAUGCCAAAACUACUGCAGUAAAACAGGUUCUCUAGAGUCUCAUUUGAGAAAAGUACAGGACAGAAACAAGAAAACAUAUAUGAAGAGAGACGUUAAGAGUUCAAGACUCCACGUUGGUUGCAGCAGAAAUGAAGGAAUUAUGGGAACCAACAGUGAACCACAAAACCAACCAGCCACAAGGCCUCCAAACCCUAUAAGAGCAGCUCUACCUAAGCUCUUUGUCUUGUCAUUAAGGAAGUAUACACAAGCUCCAAAUGAUAUUGCUACCUGGAAUGCAGGGCCAGCUUCAGCAGAGUUCAUCACACUCCAGCAUGCCAUGAAUCCAAAGAGGAAUAAUCUCCUCAUGAUAAUUACAGGUGGUGGAAGUUCCACAAAGCUGAGGAGGUUCUGAACCCAUGGUGGAGAUUCCUCGACUUGCUUUUUUAGCCUUGUUUUCAAGUUAAUCUUUGUCUUCUUUCUAUUUAUGAAGCUUUUCAUUAGUAUCUUCUCAAAAGCAGCUUCAAUUGAUUCUGCACUUCUCUCAUGAUUGGCAUACUGGUUUAACAAAAAGUUGCGCGAACUCCAAAUUUCUUCCUCAGAGGCAUCACGGCUUAUUCCAAGACGUUUGUAAGGGUCCCAAACAUUCAAUCGAGAAAACUUCGGAACAUUACCUCCAUAAGCCGUAUCCGUUGCACAUUUUGUACCUUUUGAAAACAAACGAGAGGGUUCCGACCUCUUCGAAUUUCCUCUACUCGAAAUUUUUUGGCCGAGGAAAGCAGAGGAAAGGGAAGGCUUCAAUAUGAGAGUUGCCGCCAUGAAAUUCGUUCUCUCCAAUAGAGAAAAAGAACCCUAGAUUUUGAACUGAUUUCUUAUAGUGGAGAAAAUUUUUCCAUAGAGGCCGUGCCGGCCGAGAGGGUUUAAUCCGGUUAGGUGGAAGUUGAAAGCCGUGGAAGAAGAAAGGAACUUCUUGCUAAGCUUUUCGAUAUGUAUACGGUGAAAAAUCGAAAGAG
rnacentral:misc_RNA from 1 species